UGGGCCCCGAUUUGGAACCACGAAGCUGCCUCGGUUCAGUGGAUCGGAAUCACUUCAACCCUAAGGUUCAAUCGGUUCGACCCAUCUCAUCUCCCUCCCGAGCGGCGGCGGCACUCACGUAGACGCCGCUAAGUCUCCGGCGGCGACUGGCCACGCAGGACUGGGCGCCGACGACCGGCCACGCGGGACGGUUGCGCCGGCGUCAGCGCAUUCGGGGCCGCACCGCCGCAGCCUCCGCCAAGCCGCGGGGGUCGUCGUCGCCAUCUUCUCAAGGCUGUACACCGGUGGUAGGAGGCGCUUCGAGGUGGUGUGGUGCGACACCUGCGUGGAGACCCAGGCGCUGACGGUGGCCAAGGCGGCCAGCAUCGCUACGCUCGAGCAGUUCAAGAUCUCCGCCGACCGAAGGUGGAAGUGGAUAGGAUGAUGGAUGUGCCACACCUCCAAGGAGUUGGAGAAGGACACUCAAGUGGUAGAAAGCGAAAGAGAACGCCUCGGGCAACCAGUGCUCCACUAGUUGAAGUAGUUGAAGGAGUAGACCUCAAUAACAAUGCUCCGGAAGUUGAACAAGUUCAGUCAAGCAAUGCAGUACAGCCAAAUGAUGAUAAUGAGCUAGUUGGUGAUGGAGAGAACAACCAGGGCAUUGGUGAUGGCGAGGAUCAGAACAUGGGUGACGGUUCGGAGGAUCGGGACUUCGGUGAUGGUUCGGAGGAUCGGGACUUCGGUGAUGGUUCGGAGGAUCCUUGACAUUAUAGGUUUUGGUUGACCACACCGACUUCCUCAAGGAACUCCAGUGAAGCCCAAUGCUUGAUGUAGUAAUGCUUCUCCGUGAUGUAAUAAAUGGCAGUUGGCGCUUGACUUUGCUCCUGCCAUGAUGAACUGAAAAUAAAACUGCCGUAGAGUUGUGCUUUUGCUAGGGAGGAUUGGGGUUCACUGUGUAACUGCCUGUUACUAGUUUGCAAUUGCUACCUGUAGCAAUCUGUCUAUUACACUAGACCAGUUUGAGGUGUUGAUUCACUGAUAUGUGCUGGUUGCCUGCUGCUGUUUUGUCGUGAAUCUGUCUAUUAGGCUAGUCGGCAACUAACCAACUGUAAGCAAUUGCAUUGACAAAUCCAUCUGAUGUUUGAUCUGAAUGUCU